GGCAGAUCAGAGGUUUGUGUGGAACGGGAACCUCCUGAGAGAACUGGCUGCGCAGCCUGAGCUUCACAAGUUUGCACUUCCUGUUGUCCAUGGAUUCAUCGUCAUGAAGCCGUGUCGAAUCAACGGGAAGAUCUUCGAGUGGAUCCUCAUCUCCAGGAGAAGCUGUUUCCGGGCCGGCGUCAGAUACUACGUCAGAGGUAAAAAUGUCUGCUGUACUGCACCAAGCCUU